GAUGAACGCUGGCGGCGUGCCUAAUACAUGCCAGUCGAGCGAACGGACGAGAAGCUUGUUUCUUUGAUGUUAGCGGCGGACGGGCGAGUAACACGUGGAUAACCUACUUAUAUUUCUGGGAUAAUUUCGGGAAACCGGAGCUAAUACCGGAUGAUAUUUUGAACCGCAUGGUUCAAAAGUGAAAGACGGUCUUGCUGUCACUUAUAGAUGGAUCCGCGCUGCAUUAGCUAGUUGGUAAGGUAACGGCUUACCAAGGCAACGAUGCAUAGCCGACCUGAGAGGGUGAUCGGCCACACUGGAACUGAGACACGGUCCAGACUCCUACGGGAGGCAGCAGUAGGGAAUCUUCGGCAAUGGGCGAAAGCAUGACGCAGCAACACCGCGUGGGUGAUGAAGGUCUUCGGGUCGUAAAGCUCUGUUGUUGGGGAAGAACAGAUGUAGAAGUAACCGUGGACGUCUUGACGGUACCUAAUGAAAAAGCAACGGCUAACUACGUG
rnacentral:rRNA from 1 species